GAGGACAUAUAUAGAUGCAUUGUCUAUAUAAUUGUAACCAUAUAUCCUUUUCUUCCUUCAAAAUGAAAUAACAUAAUAUAAAAUUUCACCCAUCAAAAGUUGUAACUAUUUUUUCUACAAAUCAAUUAUAAUCACCAACUAAUACCAAUUAGAUAUACUCCCAGUAAAUCAAUUACACAAACCCUAGCUUCUUGUUCUUUGUGAAUGAGAAUAAUUUAUUUAAUACUAUGUCUUGGUGUACAUUAAUCUGGGAUUGAUCACAUAUAUUUAAGAUUCCACUUCUUUAGUUGGAAAGUAAAAAUAACCCUCUAUUUUCUAUGACACUUGAAGGAGUACAAGAUCAAGAUGAGGAAAGAUUUGAAUAAAAUUAUACAAUCAAAAAAAUACAAAUAAAAAUCAGAUUGCCAUAAUGAAACAUUGAUUGCCUUUCCACCUUCCUUUAACUGCCACAAACUCCUCUAACUCAAAUAGAAAUUGAAUCUAUAUAACUUUACAAUCACAGAAAUUUAUAAAAUUGGAUAAACUGACUAAGUAGUCACAAUAUUUAUAAAAUCUGAGUAAAUAAAAAUUAACCAUAAAACACAUGAAAACAUCCUUCAAAUACAAAACAAUAAGCUGAAAAUCCAUCAUAAUUACGCAAAGAAUAAUUAAAAUACGAAAUAGUCCAAAUAAACUCAAAAUUGAUUUCGGAAGGCCCAAACACAUGUUUUCAGGCGUCUUUUGGGAUUUCUACGGUCUCCUUCAUGACCAAAGGUGAUGAGAUUGGUAGAGCUCGUGGUAAGUUUCGAUUUGAUAUAUUAUGAGUCCCGCAAUUCUAAACGGAUCAAAAAUUAUGACAGUGUUAAAUCUUCUUAGACUUGAAUUUCCUUCAAUUUCCUAUUCUGACCGUGUCAUCCUCCUUCCCAAGUUUCAUGCCUUAAAGAGCCCAAUUUAGAGACAAUAACGCGAUUAUUCUGCAGAAACAGAUACUAAUUCUGGUGGAAGGAAGAGAGGUCGAUAGAGUAAAAUUUCCAAGGACAGAAAAACUUAAAAGAUGAUCGAGAAUAGUACUCCAUCCUAUAUAUGCAUGAACAAACACUUGCAUAGAAGUAAUUAUUUAACAUUACCAAGUAAAACCAUAUAUAAAUUAGUCAUAAUUAUAAUUAAUAAUGAAAAACAUAUAAUAUUUUUAUUGCUAAUUACCUCUGUUAAACUGUCAAUAAUUUUUAUUAAUACUAGUUAGUAAUACUUAAACAACAUUAUAACAUCCAUCUCUUUAUAUAUUGAUGCUGCUUUAAUUUUUAUUUUUCUUGUUUUUCUAUUUUGUUUUCUUCUUUAUAUAUAUUAAUUCCAGUUCAUACAUACAUAUUUACUCAACAUAAUUAAUCCUAAUUAUUAAUUCAACUCUAGAUACCAAUUACACAAUGAAGGACACAUAUAUAUGGCAAAACAAUGUACUUCAUUCAGAAUAUAUGCAUUUUAUGCCUAGCUACUAAUGAAAUGAAUUUCAACAAAUCCCUUAUUUGAAAAUACAAAUUUCUUAAUUAAUCCACAUUUCAUAAGAGAGUACGUACUGUGGUUCUAGCAAUAGUCUCACUUAUCUUCAUUUAAUUAAGAUGUUAAUUACAUGGUAUUAUCCCAAAUUUUCUUUCUAAUGAUCUAAAAUUUGUGUAGCCCUAGAAACAUGCAUUACAAAGAAGUUAAGGCCGUUACUACAAAUGUCUACAAUAACAUUGGAAUUUUAGUAGAUUUUUUUUUUUGAUCGGCAAAAAUAAAUUUUAAUGAAACCCAAAGUCAUACAGAUUGAGGCAAAUCCAAAAGACGAUAUGCAUGGAUAAUGCCGUCAUAGAGUUAAAGAAAGAAACCUAACCAUUUUUACUACAUUAAUUAAUUAUACAGGAUCAAAACCUGAUUUCGAACGAACACAAUCAUCCUGGCUUGAACUUAUCUGGAAAACACCCUCAAAUUCUCCAUCAAAACAAGGAAGAGAAAGACAGAAGCAUGUCUUUCUCGUGUCUUGGAAUUUUGUCCUUACUUGUUGUCUCAUUGAUAUAUUGAUCUGCAAAUAUACUAAAGACAAACAAGUACACACAAACAUAAAGAUAUCUAAAGAGAGAAAAAGAUAUACAUAAAUAUAUGUAUAUAUAUAUUGAGAGAGAGAGUCUGGAAGAGUACCAUUACUUGCAGAAUCCAUGAAUUGUAUUAAUUAGGGAAAAAAGAGGUAAUUGUAUUGACUGUUGGUGAAUGAGUGAUUGAAGCUGCAAGAUGACCUGAUGGAACCAUAUCUAUCUAUGAACCAAACAAAUAUACCCCAACUCUAUAUCCCACCAUUCUAAAACCAACUUACUCCCUCUCUCUCUCUCUCUCUCUCUCUCUCUAUAUAUAUAUAUAUAUAUAUAUAUAUAUAUAUAUAUAUAUAU
rnacentral:lncRNA from 1 species